AUGAAACAGAAAACACACAACGGAGAAAAUGAACAUCAACAGCUGGUUCCUUGGAAAGAUAAAUGCAGUGGUAGGCUUUGUCAACAGAGGGUGCUGGAGGGACUGCCGGGCCUGUCCUUUUGCUAAAUAUGAUUAGCUUUAUUUGGUAAGCAUGGGGAAAUGGGAAGAAUCUUCAGCAGGAGAAUGAGAGACCAUUAAUCUGUCAGAAGCACAACAGGAGAAAUGUAUCAGAGAAGACUGGUUAGAAAGCUACUGACAUUGCUCGGAUGAAGAGGACGCGCUGGAGUGGGAGCAGGGAAAUAAAGAUAUCUAUGGAAAGCCUGUAUUUAAGGCUCUAUUGUACGAGGGAUGAGGUUGGCUCUGGGCCCAGGAUGCCCGAGUUCAAAUGCAAGCUCUACCACUUUCCACCCUGUGUGUCUCUGGGCACAUACUCAAUCUCUCUGUGUUCUGGUUCCUCAUAAGUGCAAUAGGAAUAAAAGGAGUACCUCUAUCGAAGAGGGUUGUUGUGAAGAUUAAAUGAGGGCAAGACAUUUCCUCUCUCUGCCCAUGUUCUCAUUUGUAAAAAGAAGAGGUUGAAUGAGGUGACUUGAGAGCUCUCCGUCCCUGAGCAUUUCUGGACUAACCUGCUGAAAGAGGCCAUGAAGACUCUCCUCUGGAGACAUAUCCUGCUGUGCCCUAGAAGACAGAGUCCAACCAACUCAGUCAGUUUUCUAGGGUUUAUGCCUUCUAUGUGUCAUGCAGUAUAAAUUUAUUUUUCCUUCAAUCACUUAUCCUCUGGGCAAAAAUUUAUUUUCUAUUAAAGUUGAACAGAAGUGAAACAAAAUCAAUUUCUUCCCCUUGACAACACUAAAAGGAGGUUUUAGGAGAAAAAAGUUGUUGCCUACUAGUUAGUAAAGAAGUUGGUAUUAUUUAAAGUGUUACAUCCAUGAAUGAGGUCCACAACUUUUAAAUAAGUGUAAUGGAGCCAAAGUACUCUGUUGGUGGUAUAUGUAGUCCUCUUACAGGCUUCUAAUUGCUGAAAAAGUUCAGUAUGUCUCAGUGCCAUAACAAACAACCCAGAUAAUCAGGUCUGCUCCUCCUCUUCCAAGAAUCAAUUUAGACAUUACUGAAAAGGAUUUGAUUUAACAGUGACAAAGAAUAAGUCUAAGUAACUUUUCUUCCUCUCUGAUGCCAAAGCUUGUCUCCAAUAAAAGCAAGAAAACAUAAUCAAAUAGAAUGCAAGAGAAUGUAACAUUCAAGAAGUCAAGAUUUACCGAAAUUCGGGAGUGAUUCAUGGCAUUAACCAUACAGUUUCAAAUGAUUCCUAUCACCUCAAAUUGCGCAGCUACCAAGAGCAGGCUCACUGAGAUGUGAGCAGAGGGGCUGGGGCCCACCAUUCCAUUUGCUCACUUAGGCCAAACUAAUAGUUUAUUCUCCUGUGGGGAGUCUGCUUUACAGAUUCCCAUGCCCCAUGCCCCUCUGUCUUCAUGAGCUCCCAAGAACCAUACCAAAAAAGGAUCUCCAGCACAAAGGAUUUUUAGGGCAGUGAAACUCCUCUGUAUGAUACCAGAAUGGUGGAUACAUGUCUUGAUACAUUUACCCAAACCCACAAAAUGUACACCACCAAGAGUGAACCCUAAUGUAAUCUGUGGACAUUGGUGAGUGUUGGGUCAGUCGGGGAUAUGCAGGAGGCAACCAACUGAUGUGUCUCUCUCACACUGAUGUUUCUUUCUCUCUCUCUCCCUUCCUUCCAUUUAAAAA